UUCGCUCUGUGUGGAUAGCUUAGUUGGUUAGAGUGUGGCGCAGAUAACACCAAGGUUGCAAGUUCAAUCCCUGUAAGCGGAA